rnacentral:rRNA from 1 species
UACGGAGGGUGCAAGCGUUAUCCGGAUUCACUGGGUUUAAAGGGUGCGUAGGUGGGCUGGUAAGUCAGUGGUGAAAUCCCCGAGCUUAACUUGGGAACUGCCAUUGAUACUAUCAGUCUUGAAUACCGUGGAGGUCAGCGGAAUAUGUCAUGUAGCGGUGAAAUGCUUAGAUAUGACAUAGAACACCAAUUGCGAAGGCAGCUGGCUACACGAAUAUUGACACUGAGGCACGAAAGCGUGGGGAGCAAACAGG